rnacentral:rRNA from 1 species
UACGGAGGGUGCGAGCGUUAAUCGGAAUUACGGGGCGUAAAGCGUGCGCAGGCGGUUUGUUAAGCGAGAUGUGAAAGCCCCGGGCUCAACCUGGGAACCGCAUUUCGAACUGGCAAACUAGAGUCUUGUAGAGGGGGGUAGAAUUCCAGGUGUAGCGGUGAAAUGCGUAGAGAUCUGGAGGAAUACCGGUGGCGAAGGCGGCCCCCUGGACAAAGACUGACGCUCAGGCACGAAAGCGUGGGGAGCAAACAGG